rnacentral:rRNA from 1 species
AAAGGAAUUGACGGGGGCCCGCACAAGCGGUGGAGCAUGUGGUUUAAUUCGAUGAUACGCGAGGAACCUUACCUGGGCUUAAAUGGGAAACGACCGGUCUGGAAACAGACCUUUCUUCGGACGGUUCUCAAGGUGCUGCAUGGUUGUCGUCAGCUCGUGCUGUGAGGUGUCGGGUUAAGUCCCAUAACGAGCGCAACCCCUAUCUUUAGUUGCCAGCGAGUAAUGUCGGGGACUCUAGAGAAACUGCCCGUGCAAACGGUGAGGAAGGUGGGGAUGACGUCAAAUCAUCACGGCCCUUACGUCCAGGGCUACACACGUGCUACAAUGGCGGAUACAAAGGGCAGCUACUAGGUGACUAGAUGCUAAUCUCUAAAGUCCGUCUCAGUUCGGAUCGAAGUCUGCAACUCGACUUCGUGAAGCUGGAAUCGCUAGUAAUCGCGCAUCAGCCAUGGCGCGGUGAAUACGUUCCCGGGCCUUGUACACACCGCCCGU